rnacentral:rRNA from 1 species
UACGGAGGAUGCAAGCGUUAUCCGGAAUUAUUGGGCGUAAAGCGUCCGCAGGUGGCACUUCAAGUCUGCUGUCAAAGACCGGGGCUUAACCCUGGAAAGGCAGUGGAAACUGAAGCGCUAGAGUGUGGCAGGGGUAGAGGGAAUUCCCGGUGUAGCGGUGAAAUGCGUAGAGAUCGGGAAGAACAUCGGUGGCGAAAGCGCUCUACUGGGCCAUAACUGACACUCAGGGACGAAAGCUAGGGGAGCGAAUGGG